rnacentral:rRNA from 1 species
CAGCCGCCGCGGUAAUACGAGGGGGGCAAGCGUUGUUCGGAAUUAUUGGGCGUAAAGGGUGCGUAGGCGGCUUGACAAGUCUUGUGUGAAAUCUAUGGGCUCAACCCAUAGUCUGCACGGGAAACUGUCGGGCUUGAGAAUGGGAGAGGUGAGUGGAAUUUCCGGUGUAGCGGUGAAAUGCGUAGGUAUCGGAAGGAACACCUGUGGCGAAAGCGGCUCACUGGACCAUUUCUGACGCUGAUGCACGAAAGCUAGGGGAGCAAACAGGAUUAGAUACCCGAGUAGUCCCUGUCUCUUAUAA